UUUCCGUAGGUGAACCUGCGGAAGGAUCAUUAUUGUAUAACCGAGGUGCGAGGGCUUUGGCUGACCCGGGAGGUCGUGCACGCCCGAGUGUCCUCACACACAUCCAUAUGACCCCUGUGGGGACCAUCGCGUGGGUCCCCCUUUGGCCUUUUUGGAGGGGGGCUUACGGUUUCACACGAACUUUGUAUGCAGUGUAGAAUGACUUUUUAGUUUGUGCGAUUACGCUAUCACUACGAUUUUCAACAACGAAUCUCGUGGGUCCCGCAUCGUGGAAGAACG
rnacentral:misc_RNA from 1 species